CCACCCAUUCCAGGGCUUUCCCCCAAUACAUUUUAUUUGCCACAGAAGUGAUAGCCAGAGAUGGUGGCAUGCCUCCAGAUUUUCUCUUGUUCCCAAGCAAGGAUUCCUCUCUGACUGAAUAUUUUCCCCUUGAGGGCCUUCAAGUGACUUGACACCUUACCAACAUGGUGUGCUUGCAAUGCCAAGGCGGAUCUUUUGCAACUCACAUCCUCUUCGAUUGUCUGGCGGAGUGCCAAAUCUUUACCAGCAAACAUCCUCCCCAACUUCCUGGGAACGAUAUAUAAGCAAGCCUAGCCUACUACUGGACAUUCACCCAGAUAUCACCAUGAGGUCCAGUCUCUUCUUCUUUUCUGUGGGACUCCUUGCUCUCGGGGGAAACCUGCCCAGGACUUCUGGCCAGAAGGUUACAGGAAUGAUAUAUAAGCAAGCCUAGCCUGCUACUGGGCAUUCACCCACAUAUCACCAUGGCUUCCACCCUCUUCUUCUUUUCUGUGGGACUCCUCGCUCUCGGGGGAAACCUGCCCAGGACUUCUGGCCAGAAGGUUACAGGUCCUUGUUCCGAUGCACAAGUCCAUGUGGAGACCAUCCCGCCAUCUUUUACUGAUAUUUACCUAACCAAGUUGGCCAAGCUGACCUGCAGGAUCUCCAACAUUCCCUAUGAUCAGGAUCUCGAAGUCCUGGAUGUCAUCUGGACAAGAAAAUCUGACAACAAAGAGCUGAAGACAACCAAGGGAGAGAAACAAGAGCAAGAAAACAAUGAGCUGGUAUUUGUAGACGCAACAGCAUCUGUGGGCAUAGAAGAAUGGAACAGUGGAGAGACCUUUGAGUGCAAAGUUACUCUUCCCCUUCUUCCCGCAGCUGAGAAAAAAACCCUGCAAAAGCCUAAGGGUGGCACUCCCAGAGCUCCCGAGGUCUACGUCCUCCCCCCUCCCUCAGAACAACUGAAAUUGCAGGAAACAGCCACCCUCACUUGCCUGCUGAAAGGUUUCUACCCCAGUGACUUCUUCGUGACAUGGCUCCGGAAUGAUGAGCCCGUGGGAGCUUCAGAGUACAUCACCAGCCAUCCUGUACAGGAAUCCAAGACCCCCGAGCGGUACUUCACCUACAGCACAUUGAAUGUCAAGGAGCAGGACUGGAGUCAUGGGGCCACUUACACUUGCAUGGUGGGACACGAAGCACUUCCCCUUCAGACAAUUCAGAAGACCAUAUACCAGAACAUGCGUCGUCCAACGUUCAAGAUCUUUACUAAAAUCUUGGCCCAACUUGGGUGCCGGCUGGAGUAGAGCCUGCUAAACACUCCCUGGGAAUAUGGGCUCUCUAAGUCCAACGGGGGCCGUUCUGACGCCCAUGAACCACAAACCUUGAACCGGUACGUCAGCAGGAAAUGUUCAUUUCAGUUCGUUAGUUCGUAUUCAUCAGUGCCACCGAACCACAAACCGUUGGUUCAUUAAAUUUUUUUGGUUUGUGCCCAUGUCUAGUCGGGAUAAGGGAGUGUUAAUGAAAGCACUCUAAUAAAAAAGAUUUUCCAGCAUAAGUGUAAUCAAAAGAUUACACCAAAAUAAAAUUUUCUUUGG